AAAAAAAUUAAGUUGAUCAGUAGAAGGGGUCGAGAGAAGGAGAGAGAGUGAGAGCCAUACGAGUCGGUGCUUGUCUUGGUUGAGGUAGAGAGAGAGGGAUUGAUGUCUCGUCCGGCGGCGGCCGAGCUAGACGGUGAAGGCCGGUAGAGGCCACUGUGGCGCCUGUGGGUGUCUUAGGGGAGCUGAGGGAGAUGGUAUAGGGGGGUAAAUAAACUAGGUGGCGGCGGAUUUAGCAGCGGUGGUAGAUUGGGGUCGCGGCGGACGGAGCCCAGGCCACCCAAGCGGUGGCGGGCGCCGCCGUUGCUGUAGAUGGACGGAUACGGGAGGUGGUCACGUCGGUGUGCGUGCUCCGCACGUUGGUGCCGGCAGCCCGCGCUCGCCGAAGUGACCGCGUCGAAGCCGUUGUACGGCGAUAGCCACAAACUGAGGAAGUAGAUGACGAUGGUGAGUUCCAUUGAUCUCAGGUCUUCUAGUCCACAAGUACAAGAUUCGUUUCCAUUUCUACCUAGUUCCACGGUUCGUAGUUCGUUUGUCUCGACGUUUUCGUUCCAUGAACUUAUCAUGGACUAGCGUUGAGUCGUAAGCUGGUUUUCUCACCUACCCCUACCACCCUUCUCGAGCCAAGAGAGAGAACACGCACAACACACGUCAUCUCCUUCACUUUCCACUUUCCACGUCCGACGAUAAAUAUCAUCACCUCCUACGAUACAGCCAAACCAUUUUACUUCGUCCACCGACCGUACGUACCAACGUACGCGUACGUUCCGAGGUGAACAUUAGUACACUCGCCAUGUUACCUGUUCACACAUCACGAACUAACCUGUAAUCAACCGUAAUGAAACACACAUUCCUUACUCUGUUCCGGGGUCAACAUUUAGACGUUUGAUAUUCCCUCAACCUCUUCUUGGCAACAUGUACCGAUUUAUGAUUGAAAAAA
rnacentral:rRNA from 1 species